rnacentral:lncRNA from 1 species
AUGCCCCUCUCCUACCUGGCCCAUGCUGGGCGGGAAGCCUGCCAGGGCAGGGGCUCGAAGGCCCGGAUGACGCACGCUGCAGGCUCACAGCCAGUGAGGGUAAACGGGCAGAAGAGGCAGCGGAGGGCGGCGGCUCCCCUGCUCCCUUCUCCCCUGCCAGUCCCAGCCCUGGUGUGGGGAGUCUGGGCUGGGGCUGCUUUCCCCUCCCCUGGCCCUUUUCGGUCUGAUCCUGCCCUGCCUCCCUCUACCUGUGCACGUAGGGCGGGGAGCAGAGCACGCACACCGGGCCCGGAGGCCAGCCAGAGCUGCAUUCUAACACAGGUUCAUUCUUCCCCCGCCUGGCCGUGCACCCUUGGGCCGUGUCCUCAGCAGGAAAUGGCCCAGAUACCUCCCAGUGUGGAGGUGAGGACCCAGCGAGCCAGGCAGAGUUUAGCUUGGAGUCCAGCACCAAGGAAACCCCCCAGGAAGUGGCAGCUAUUUUUAGAUGGAGCGCGGCACCCCCCCGCCCCGGCUGACCCUGGCACCUGCACCCAUGUGGCCCCUGAUGUGAAGGCGGGGGCUCGGCCCGCUGGCUUUCCCACGCCCAGACCACGCUGGCCAGCAUCUGAGAAACAUCAGCCUCCCUCUCCCGACGGCCGCCGCCUCCAAGGAGCCCUUCCCAGCCCGACCCACGCUGCUUUCCUGGGAUGCCCCGAGCUCCUCUUUGUUCUUCUCAAACCGACUGCAACCGUCCGACUCAAUUCCCUGGGGAAUCUGGGGCAACCAGCUCUCGCCUCGGGAACCCAGGUGGGCCCAGCGCCCCCACCGGCACAACGGCUCAGACGCCUCCCCCGAAAUCCCAAGACUCCACGGAGCGAGAGGACUCAUUUCCACGGAGGCCCCAGUGAGGGCCAGAAACCUGCAAAAUUCUCCCAACAACGCCAAGAGGUACCUGACACUGUCCUAUGUCGCCGGCCGGCAGGGGCUCAGGAACUUGCCCAGGGCCACUCAUGUCGUCUCUUCCCAGCUGUGCUCAGGCAGCCAUGA